rnacentral:sRNA from 1 species
UCGAUAUGGUGUUAAUGUGUAAAGGCUC